rnacentral:rRNA from 1 species
UGCAAGUCGAACGGAAAGGCCAGUGCUUGCACUGGUACUCGAGUGGCGAACGGGUGAGUAACACGUGGGUGAUCUGCCCUGUACUUCGGGAUAAGCUUGGGAAACUGGGUCUAAUACCGGAUAGGACAACUUUUUGGAUAUUGUUGUGGAAAGCUUUUGCGGUAUGGGAUGAGCUCGCGGCCUAUCAGCUUGUUGGUGGGGUAAUGGCCUACCAAGGCGUCGACGGGUAGCCGGCCUGAGAGGGUGUACGGCCACAUUGGGACUGAGAUACGGCCCAGACUCCUACGGGAGGCAGCAGUGGGGAAUAUUGCACAAUGGGCGCAAGCCUGAUGCAGCGACGCCGCGUGGGGGAUGAAGGCCUUCGGGUUGUAAACUCCUUUCGCUAGGGACGAAGCUUUUUUGUGACGGUACCUGGAGAAGAAGCACCGGCUAACUACGUGCCAGCAGCCGCGGUAAUACGUAGGGUGCGAGCGUUGUCCGGAAUUACUGGGCGUAAAGAGCUCGUAGGUGGUUUGUCGCGUCGUUUGUGUAAGUCCACAGCUUAACUGUGGGACUGCAGGCGAUACGGGCAUAACUUGAGUGCUGUAGGGGAGACUGGAAUUCCUGGUGUAGCGGUGAAAUGCGCAGAUAUCAGGAGGAACACCGAUGGCGAAGGCAGGUCUCUGGGCAGUAACUGACGCUGAGGAGCGAAAGCAUGGGUAGCGA